GGCGUGCCUAAUACAUGCAAGUCGAACGCUUCUUUUUCCACCGGAGCUUGCUCCACCGGAAAAAGAGGAGUGGCGAACGGGUGAGUAACACGUGGGUAACCUGCCCAUCAGAAGGGGAUAACACUUGGAAACAGGUGCUAAUACCGUAUAACAAUCAAAACCGCAUGGUUUUGAUUUGAAAGGCGCUUUCGGGUGUCGCUGAUGGAUGGACCCGCGGUGCAUUAGCUAGUUGGUGAGGUAACGGCUCACCAAGGCCACGAUGCAUAGCCGACCUGAGAGGGUGAUCGGCCACAUUGGGACUGAGACACGGCCCAAACUCCUACGGGAGGCAGCAGUAGGGAAUCUUCGGCAAUGGACGAAAGUCUGACCGAGCAACGCCGCGUGAGUGAAGAAGGUUUUCGGAUCGUAAAACUCUGUUGUUAGAGAAGAACAAGGAUGAGAGUAACUGUUCAUCCCUUGACGGUAUCUAACCAGAAAGCCACGGCUAACUACGUGCCAGCAGCCGCGGUAAUACGUAGGUGGUAAGCGUUGUCCGGAUUUAUUGGGCGUAAAGCGAGCGCAGGCGGUUUCUUAAGUCUGAUGUGAAAGCCCCCGGCUCAACCGGGGAGGGUCAUUGGAAACUGGGAGACUUGAGUGCAGAAGAGGAGAGUGGAAUUCCAUGUGUAGCGGUGAAAUGCGUAGAUAUAUGGAGGAACACCAGUGGCGAAGGCGGCUCUCUGGUCUGUAACUGACGCUGAGGCU
rnacentral:rRNA from 1 species